rnacentral:rRNA from 1 species
GACGAACGCUGGCGGCGUGCCUAAUACAUGCAAGUAGAACGCUGAAGGAGGAGCUUGCUUCUCUGGAUGAGUUGCGAACGGGUGAGUAACGCGUAGGUAACCUGCCUGGUAGCGGGGGAUAACUAUUGGAAACGAUAGCUAAUACCGCAUAAUAGUAGAUGUCGCAUGACAUUUGCUUAAAAGGUGCAAUUGCAUCACUACCAGAUGGACCUGCGUUGUAUUAGCUAGUUGGUGAGGUAACGGCUCACCAAGGCAACGAUACAUAGCCGACCUGAGAGGGUGAUCGGCCACACUGGGACUGAGACAAGGCCCAGACUCCUACGGGAGGCAGCAGUAGGGAAUCUUCGGCAAUGGACGGAAGUCUGACCGAGCAACGCCGCGUGAGUGAAGAAGGUUUUCGGAUCGUAAAGCUCUGUUGUAAGAGAAGAACGAGUGUGAGAGUGGAAAGUUCACACUGUGACGGUAUCUUACCAGAAAGGGACGGCUAACUACGUG